CAAUAGCGUAUAUUAAAGUUGUUGCAGUUAAAAAGCUCGUAGUUGAAUUUCUGGCGGGCGCGCCGGUCUUCCGAGUGUUGUACUGGGCGCAGUCCGCCAUCCUUGUGGAGAGGGCUCGCAUUGAGUUGCGUGUCGGAUCUGCAUCAUUUACUGUGAAAAAAUUAGAGUGUUUAAAGCAGGCUGUCGCUUGAAUACAUUAGCAUGGAAUAAUAAGAUAGGACUUCGGUCUAUUUUGUUGGUUGCGAACCGAGGCAAUGAUUAAUAGGGAUAGUUGGGGGUAUUCAUAUUUAAUUGUCAGAGGUGAAAUUCUUGGAUUUAUGAAAGAUGAACAACUGCGAANGNAUUUACNAAGGAUGUUUNCAUUA
rnacentral:rRNA from 1 species